UGUCUAAUUGGUAACCUACUGAAAAACCUUUUUUUUUUUUUUUUUUUGCCAUAGGUCAUUUAAUCUAGCAGUCUGAGUAAAGACUAGAAGAGCAGUUCAGUUCCAGCCUGACCACGUUGUUUUCAAAGCAGGUCAUUUCUGUACCGUGAACUAGAGAUCAGUUCAAACAGUGCAGCACAGUGCCAGUCUAACUGCAGAAGGUAGUGUUUUAAAUUUGUGCUGCACAUCAAAGGAAUAGGAAAUGCAUAUUUAAGAGUCUGGCGCGAAGCAAAUUAAGAGUC
rnacentral:lncRNA from 1 species